rnacentral:rRNA from 1 species
UAGCAAGUACGAGCGGAUGACGGGAGCUUGCUCCUUGAUUCAGCGGCGGACGGGUGAGUAAUGCCUAGGAAUAAGCCUGGUAGUGGGGGACAACGUUUCGAAAGGAACGCUAAUACCGCAUACGUCCUACGGGAGAAAGCAGGGGACCUUCGGGCCUUGCGCUAUCAGAUGAGCCUAGGUCGGAUUAGCUAGUUGGUGAGGUAAUGGCUCACCAAGGCGACGAUCCGUAACUGGUCUGAGAGGAUGAUCAGUCACACUGGAACUGAGACACGGUCCAGACUCCUACGGGAGGCAGCAGUGGGGAAUAUUGGACAAUGGGCGAAAGCCUGAUCCAGCCAUGCCGCGUGUGUGAAGAAGGUCUUCGGAUUGUAAAGCACUUUAAGUUGGGAGGAAGGGCAGUAAGUUAAUACCUUGCUGUUUUGACGUUACCGACAGAAUAAGCACCGGCUAACUCUGUGCCAGCAGCCGCGGUAAUACAGAGGGUGCAAGCGUUAAUCGGAAUUACUGGGCGUAAAGCGCGCGUAGGUGGUUCGUUAAGUUGGAUGUGAAAGCCCCGGGCUCAACCUGGGAACUGCAUCCAAAACUGGCGAGCUAGAGUACGGUAGAGGGUGGUGGAAUUUCCUGUGUAGCGGUGAAAUGCGUAGAUAUAGGAAGGAACACCAGUGGCGAAAGGCGAACACCCUGGACUGAUACNGACACUGAGGUGCGAAAGCGUGGGGGAGCAAACAGGAAUUAGAUACCCUGGGUAGUUCA